rnacentral:rRNA from 1 species
GGGACAGUAGGUUGGUCGUGCCACCGGUACGUACAGGUCUCACUGAUUCCUCCUUCCUGAAGAACCGUAAUGCCAUUAAUUUGGUGUUGCGGGGAAACAGGACUGUUACUUUGAAAAAAUUAGAGUGUUUAAAGCAAGCUAACGCUUGAAUACAUUAGCAUGGAAUAAUGAAAUAGGACGAUCGAUCCUAUUUUGUUGGUUUCUAGGAUUGACGUA